UUUUAAUAAUAGAUGAGUACAAUUGUACAAAUUAAUGUAGCAAUAGAUAAAUAUACAAAAUUAUUGUUACCAAAUUACAACUUGAUCUAAUCUUAUCAUGCAGAAAAUAAGGACAUCAAGCCAGCGAAGAAAGUGGAGAGCAGCUGUCAGCUUUUGGACUUUCCGGCGUACCGACGAAUCUCAUCAGCAGAGCAAAUCAAGCCGCCGAUUAUUCGUUUAACAAAAGAAUAACACUAUAAUCAAAGAAUAAAACGGCUAGCUAUGCCGGAAACGCCCAAAUUAACUUUUACAACAGUACUCAACAAUGGCGAAACUUCACAGCAACUCCAAUGGAGUUUACAGUUGAGAAAAUAGCACUGAAAUUGAACCGACUGUGAUGUAAAGUUGCAGAAUCCAGGAUUUCCAGCAAAAUAGAACCCUCCCCGAAUUAGAAGUAAUGGACAUAUAGCCGGAAGAGGAACUUCCGUCCUGUGGUGACCACGAUGCCGGUGUUGAAGAACCACCACCAGUUGCAGGUCUAUUACCGGAGCUGCUAUUGGUGCUGCCGCCGGAGUUGAUUCCGGAGAAUCCUAAAGGAUAAGACGGUGUACCGUCCGGCUUGAACAGGCCGUAGUUACGCUCCGACAUAGGGCCAGGUUUCAAGUUCUCGUUAAACAAAGCAAAGACGUAUAUAUUCAAAUUGCUGUUUGGCUUCAACGGAGUUCCUUUCUUCUGACUCACAAGUUUAAUAAGAUUGCAAUUAUAUUUCCUCGCAUUAUCCGGCGUAGCUCCGAGCUCAUCAGCGUCUCCUUUCGACGGCCAACCUGUCUCCGAGAUCUGUACGCAGACAUUUUUGUAGCCAAUUGAAGCUAAAGCAGAAUGAACCGCAUCGAUUUGAGCGAAAAGCAUGUUAUCGUAAUGAAGAUUGGUUACUGGAUCAACAAUCCCCUGAUUAGGCUGAAACAACACGAAAUCGAGCUGCACCUGCUUUGGAUCUGCCUUAUACGCAAAAUAAGGAUAAGCAUUGAUUAGAAACGGCGAACCAGUUUUACAAUGGAAAUCCACCACCUGAGUAACACAACUAACAAGAUCUCGACGGAAAGCUCCGGAAGACGGCGGGUACGAAGUCUCGAGAAUGGCAACUGAAUGUGCAGUAGUAACACUCACUUGUUUAUCUAAGUUCAUACUAACAAGAGCGGCGUAAACAUUUUCCAUCGCCGGUAAUAGAUUAUCGGAAAGUGCAGUAUUGUUAAACGUUAACACUUCAUUUCCAACGGCGAUGCAAGUGAUUUUCGUCGCCGGUAAAUAAGCUUGGACGUUAGUUUUAACCCACGCCUGAGCUUUAGCAGGAUCCUUCAUAUCGGAGAGAUACUCAUUCCCGAGACUGACGAUAAAUUCAACGCCGGAAUUUGCAAAUGCUUUGAGGACAUGUGGAUCGGCGUCGUAGAGUUUUACUCUGUUUGCUCCCAUGGACUUUACUAAUGGAACUACUUUCUCCGGCGGUGGGAGAUUAUCGGCAAUCUGACCGUAGUUAAUGCCGAUAGAAGUCGCCAUUACGGUACUGAACAAAAACACUAAAAUUAAUGAGGCGUAGAGAAUAUUGAUGAUGGAAUCCAUUGUAGACAUUGAUGAGAAGAAGAAGAAGCUAUACAAAGUGUGGAUAAUAGAGUAGUGAAAUGAAG
rnacentral:misc_RNA from 1 species